GGUCUUUCUGUAGAGACGGACUGUAGGGUUUGUCGGCUGGUGAAAGAAACCCCAGAGUAUAUUCUAUGUGCCUGUCCACGCAGCAUGAAUCGUAGAUUGAUACACCUUGGAAAACUGCUUUGCUUUCGGCUCCAAAACGCUUCUGAAAAAGCUUGCUGCAUGAGCACUGUCAUAUAUCUACAGCAAUUUAAAAACCUCACUCCGCUCGGAACGGCUUCGCUCGGCUGGGAUCUGCUUUCUGUGUGAACGUACCCUUACGCAUUUCUUCCCUCCAAGGAGCAGCAACUUAUCAACUCAGUAGUUCAGAUUAACUCAUAUUUUGCUCAUCCAGCAAAUGUCAUGCUACCAAUGCUUUACGAUGAUCAUAAAUCAGUACGCGGCCAAGCAAUAAAAAAAAUUGUCUACUACCGUGACAACCUUUGCGAUACAGAAGUACUUACAGAGUACAAGAAAUUAUGAUAGAUUUGGAUGAUGACAAUAUUUUAACAGAACCGCCAAUUACUAGAAACAUUCCGCAUAACCAUUUGAAGGAAUAUUUAGAAUUUGAAGACCCAUCACUUCCUGACCCACAAGUUGAAUGCCACAUACAAAGUACUGAACAAUAACUUCAACUGCUAACAGCUCUCUAUCAGAAAAGAAGCAUUUACAUAUGGAAAUACAUAUCGUGUAAGAGCGCUAUAACCAGCAUUUCUCGGCGCGUAACGGAAAAAAAUCGUGAAAGUGUUAUGGCUGUAACUGAUGUUCGUCGAAAAAAAUUACCACGCUUGCAAAGCAAGCAGGACUAAAAAACUUAGUUAUUUAAGUAUUAAAAAAAUAACUGCUUUUUGUACCCUUACCCUCAUAAAUCAGCUAUUUGUUUAAGUUUUUCCCACCAAAUUUUGUAUUACCCGAUAUGCAGCUUCCACUUAAAAUUCGCUGGCUCGAGAUUGGUUUUAGACCCAUAGCUUCUUAAGAAAAUUAUUUCAGAAUGAUACGUAGAGAAUUUUCCGCAUAUGCGAUUUUACGGGUAAAAAAAAAUCGACCCCCCCUAAAGUCCAUACACAUCUGUGGACAUAUUUGACAAAAUAACUUCUCUCGAGUGAGGUCAUCUUCUCUUCAACGCAAUAAUUAACUGAGUUCUCAUAUGAUAUUUUUAAUUUUAAUCGCUAAUAGUAGCUCAAGAUGCUACCUUAAUCAAAGUUAAAUAAACUUUUUAAAUUUUUAUUUGGAAGCUCCUUAAAAUUAACUCCAAAUUCCAACCUACAGAAAGCAAAGAAGUUGUUUUGUCAAAAGUCCACAGAUAUGUACCUCUGCGGGGUAAUACCUAGCGGUUGGUCCAUGAAGGGAGGGAAACAGAGCAGGGGUGGGUUUCUAGUGCCGAAGGGCAAAUCCCACACUUAUCGGCUUUCAAUGCUUUGUGCGACCUCCACGAAACAAAAAACAUAGCAUUACACUGAUGUAUUGCAUAAAAAUGGAUGUGUAGUAAAAUUAUAAUCAGCAUACAUACUAUAUAUGUAUGUAAGUACAUACAUAACUUAAUUGCACUACAAGUUUAUCGGAUCUUUAAACGAAUCGCACUGAUUAACAAAGGUUAUAUGAGAACCUAUCCCUACAAAUAGUGCGUACAUAUUAGAGAAGUUAGGUAUGUAUUAUACUGUAGGUUAUGUUUCCACAUGCGAACUGGUGUUUUAAUUGUAGCUGUAAUAACUAACCACCACAUAAUGCGGUCCGUGCAUGAAGAAUUUCAACAGUUUGCCUGCAAAGAGAAUUUCUUUGUACUUAGUCAUUUUCUUAAGUACUAAAACAUUGUUUCGUAUGUAGGUGCAAAUAUAAUCCCUUAAGCUCAUAUUUGUUAUUUGUACAUACAUAUGUACGAGCAUACAUAUAUCGCCCGUUUACUGGAAGAAUGCCAUAAGACAAAAACAAAUUACUUAAGAACUUUGAUUUAUAUUUUUCCCUUGGAAAAAUAAAAGGGAGAGUACUAGGUAUAUUUGGCCCAGAAAAAGAAAGUUACACAAUUUUUUCUAUUAUUAAACGGCUUCUCAGUACGGUCUAUGUACAUACAUAUUCUACGCUCUUCUUUUUUGGCCUUCCCUGCUAAUUAUUUUCUCCUAGUAAAAUUUUUAAUAGCAGAAACUAGGAGUAAACAUAUUGGUUUUUAUUUGUUUCUUUAUUUAUACGUGUUUUUUUUAAAUAAAAAUAAGCGAAUUAUUAAAUACUAAUAAUUGUUGCAAAACGCAUCUCAACACAGUCCGUAGAAUCAGAAUCUAAUUCUUCAAUUGGCUCUAGCUUGCGAGAUAUUUGGGAUUUAUAGUGUCGGAAAUCGGAAUUUUGGUAGUUUUUUAACUUCUGUAGAAAGAUAUGUAUAGACGUGCAAUAUACAAAAUCUUUCGAACAGCUUAAAAUGAAAGCGACAAUACUGGAAUUUCAGUUUCUAAGGUAAAUUUAAUUCCUUAAACAUGCGGUUUAAAACGAGUUAAAAAUAACAAUAAAAUUUUGUUUACGAAUUUCUUUAAAUUUUGUAUUAGUUCUAUUUUAGCAGCUCAAUUUAUUUGUCAAAUGUUUCGAAAAUUUUUGAAUAAAUUGACUUACGUUAAUACGUAUAUUGAAUUUUUUUAGUUUUGGUUAUAAAUACAAUGCAAUCAACUCAUUCGAAGAAGAAAGAAUUCCAACUUUAAUCAUAUCUGAGCAAGCCUUUUAUGUUUUUGUUGGUAGAAUUGGAAAUUUACUUCGAAUGGUUCUAAAAAGGCUUUUAAAAAAAUUAGUAUCAAGUCAAGUUGAUGUAUGUACAACCUGUUUAUAUGCUUUGGUUAUUAUACAUAUGGGGUAUUCCAUCGUCACGGGUGGGACAUUUGUACAGCAAAAAUAGGUUUUCUUUUUUAAAUUUAAGUAUAAA
rnacentral:lncRNA from 1 species